UGUCGGCAUGAGUAGCGAGAGGCGGGUGAGAAUCCCGCCCACCGAAUGCCCAAGGUUUCCUGGGGAAGGCUGAUCCGCCCAGGGUUAGGCGGGACCUAAGCCGAAGCCGAAAGGCGUAGGUGAUGGAUAGCCGGUCAACAUUCCGGCCCCUCCGGGCCAGCGUCACGAGCGAAGGGGGGACGCCGGUGGACCUUCUCCGCGGGCUCACGGCGAUGCCCGUCCAAGCGCCAAGCCAGGGGGGAUAGGCAAAUCCGUCUCCCCGAAACCGCUCUGUCCUGCCCGUUGAGGGCGGGGCGGGGCGAGCAGGCGAGGCGUGAUGGCGAGCCCCGCAAGGGGCGAAGGGGGAACGGUUCAGCGGCCGAGAAAAGCCUCUAGCCAGUUGGUUCGGAGCCCGUACCGCAAACCGACACUGGUGGGCAGGGGGAGUACCCCAAGGUGGGCGAGCUAACCCCGGUCAAGGAACUCGGCAAAAUGGCCCCGUAACUUCGGGACAAGGGGUGCCCUUGGGGUUGUCGGGGACAACCCGAUGGCCCUGGGGGCCGCAGAGAAUCGGCGGGGGCGACUGUUUACCAAAAACACAGGUCCCUGCUAACCCGUAAGGGGAUGUAUAGGGGCUGAAACCUGGCCACUGCCGGUAGGUUAAGGGGAGGGGUGCAAGCCCCAAACUGAAGCCCCGGUGAAGGCCGGCCGUAACUAUAACGGUCCUAAGGUAGCGCAAUUCCUUGUCGGGUAAGUUCCGACGCGCAUGAAAGGAACAACGACUCCCGCGCUGUCUUGACUGGGGGCUCGGUGAACUCGAAGCACGGGUGAAGAUGCCCGUGACCCGCGGUGGGACAGAAAGACCCCGUGGAGCUUUACUGCAGCUUGGCGUUGGGUUCUGACAUCCACUGUAGAGGAUAGGUGGGAGGCUGAGAAGCCUGGGCGCCAGCUCGGGUGGAGCCGCCGGUGGAAUACCACCCUGUGGCUGUUGGAGCCCUAACCAGGGGCCGUGACGAGCGGCUUCGGGACAGCGCUAGGUGGGCAGUUUUGCUGGGGCGGCAGCCUCCUAAAGGGUAACGGAGGCGCCCAAAGGUCCCCUCAGGCGGGUUAGCGAUCCGCCGGUGAGUGUAAGGGCAGAAGGGGGCUUGACUGCGAGGCCUACAAGCCGAGCAGGGGCGAAAGCCGGGCCUAGUGACCCACCGGUUCUGCGUGGAAGGGCCGGUGAUCAACGGAUAAAAGCUACCCCGGGGAUAACAGGCUAGUCUCCCCCGAGAGUUCACAUCGACGGGGAGGAUCGGCACCUCGAUGUCGGCUCACCCCAUCCUGGGGCUGCAUCAGGUCCCAAGGGUCGGUCUGUUCGCCCGUUAAAGGGGUUCAUGAGCUGGGUUCAGACCGUCGUGAGACAGGUCGGUCCCUA
rnacentral:rRNA from 1 species